UGUUGAGCAAUACGACUUGGGUUUGCUUGAAAGACGGUAGUGGUAAGGCGGGAUCGCUUUGACAAUGGCUUAGGUCUAACCAAAAACAUUGCUUGCGGCGGUAACGUCCACCACGUAUAUCUUCAAACUUUGACCUCAAAUCAGGUAGGACUACCCGCUGAACUUAAGCAUAUCAAUAAGCGGAGGAAAAGAAACCAACAGGGAUUGCCUCAGUAGCGGCGAGUGAAGCGGCAAAAGCUCAAAUUUGAAAUCUGGCGUCUUUGGCGUCCGAGUUGUAAUUUGAAGAAGGUAUCUUUGGGCCCGGCUCUUGUCUAUGUUCCUUGGAACAGGACGUCACAGAGGGUGAGAAUCCCGUGCGAUGAGAUGACCCGGGUCUGUGUAAAGUUCCUUCGACGAGUCGAGUUGUUUGGGAAUGCAGCUCUAAGUGGGUGGUAAAUUCCAUCUAAAGCUAAAUAUUGGCGAGAGACCGAUAGCGAACAAGUACAGUGAUGGAAAGAUGAAAAGAACUUUGAAAAGAGAGUGAAAAAGUACGUGAAAUUGUUGAAAGGGAAGGGCUUGAGAUCAGACUUGGUAUUUUGCAUGCUGCUCUCUCGGGGGCGGCCGCUGCGGUUUACCGGGCCAGCAUCGGUUUGGAGCGGCAGGAUAAUGGCGGAGGAAUGUGGCACGGCUUCUGCUGUGUGUUAUAGCCUCUGACGAUACUGCCAGCCUAGACCGAGGACUGCGGUUUUUAACCUAGGAUGUUGGCAUAAUGAUCUUAAGUCGCCCGUCUUGAAACACGGACCAAGGAGUCUAACGUCUAUGCGAGUGUUUGGGUGU
rnacentral:rRNA from 1 species